AGCCAUGCCGCGUGAGUAGAAGAAGCCCUAGGGUUGUAAAGCUCUUUCAACGGGAAGAUGAUGACGGUACCCGAAUAAGAAGCCCGGCUAACUCCGUGCCA
rnacentral:rRNA from 1 species